rnacentral:rRNA from 1 species
CACGUAGGGUGCGAGCGUUGUCCGGAAUUAUUGGGCGUAAAGAGCUCGUAGGCGGUGUGUCGCGUCGGCCGUGAAAACCUGCAGCUUAACUGUGGGCGUGCGGUCGAUACGGGCAUCACUGGAGUUCGGCAGGGGAGACUGGAAUUCCUGGUGUAGCGGUGAAAUGCGUAGAUAUCAGGAGGAACACCUGUGGCGAAGGCGUCCAUCUGGCCCGUUACUGACGCUGAUGCGCGAAAGCUAGGGGAGCAAACGGG